CAUCAGCGGCGCAUGCCAAAAAUAUUUCCCUUGAACUAGGUGGUAGUUUGGAAGGCAAAGUUGUAUUCGAGGUUUAUGUUUUCAAAUGAGGAAGCUGGGGCCUUUAAAAACGGCCCGAGGAGCUAAGCUUGCGUACGCAGCCUAUAAAAUCUGACGAGUGUCGACGGCAAAGUAACUGCAGGCGCAAUUAACGGUAGCCAGCCAGAAAGGAAAAGAUGCUUUGGCAGUAAAUUUGCCAGCAAUAUCGUAAACUCUUUGUCUUUUUUUUAAUUUCUCCCAAGAAGGACUAAAUAUGCACAAAUGAGUAUUUCUUUGUCUGUUUUAUGUUUGGCAAGGAGCAGUUAUCGUCAUCGCUAUUGUGACUAAGGAGGUGGCUUCCCACAAGACCGCGCCGAGGUAAAAUGCUGCAGGUGUGAGCAUUCUUUGGCGCACCGGGGAGGGAUGCAAGGAGCGGUCCUACGAGGCCUGACAACACCUACACCUCUGAGGCUCAAGUUUUCUUAGGUGGGAAAAAACAUGGCCUUAUCCGCUGACAGGUCCUUGUGCGUCACGUCUCCAGCAGUGAGCAGAGGGGAGCUCCCAGUGCAGCAUAAUUAAGACCUCUGUGGAAGUGACAGGGUCACUCGGAGGACAACAUCAAUUUCAUUCUCUGCCUAAUCUUUAGUACCUCACGCACGCUGGCAAUUAUGAGAUGAGCCUGACUGAAUUAAUGUCAGAAGAGAAGAUAUGAAGUGAUGAUUUAUGAGAUGUUCUCCAAAAGGAAUUAAGAUGAUAUCUAUGUCUUCAGUUCUGG